CCUACGGGAGCUGCAGUGGGGAAUAUUGGACAAUGGGCGAAAGCCUGAUCCAGCCAUGCCGCGUGUGUGAAGAAGGCCUUCGGGUUGUAAAGCACUUUCAGUGGGGAAGAAAGCCUUGGGGCUAAUACCCUCGAGGAAGGACAUCACCCACAGAAGAAGCACCGGCUAACUCCGUGCCAGCAGCCGCGGUAAUACGGAGGGUGCGAGCGUUAAUCGGAAUUACUGGGCGUAAAGCGCGCGUAGGCGGUCUGAUAAGCCGGUUGUGAAAGCCCCGGGCUCAACCUGGGAACGGCAUCCGGAACUGUCAGGCUAGAGUGCAGGAGAGGAAGGUAGAAUUCCCGGUGUAGCGGUGAAAUGCGUAGAGAUCGGGAGGAAUACCAGUGGCGAAGGCGGCCUUCUGGACUGACACUGACGCUGAGGUGCGAAAGCGUGGGUAGCAAACAGGAUUAGAUACCCGAGUAGUC
rnacentral:rRNA from 1 species